rnacentral:rRNA from 1 species
ACUAACAAGGAUUCCCCUAGUAACUGCGAGUGAAGCGGGAAAAGCUCAAAUUUAAAAUCUGGCGGUCUCUGGCCGUCCGAGUUGUAAUCUAGAGAAGUAAUGCCCGUGCUGGACCGUGUAUAAGUCUCCUGGGAUGGGGCGUCAUAGAGGGUGAGAAUCCCGUCUUUGACACGGACUACCAGUGCAUUGUGGUAUGCUCUCAAAGAGUCGAGUUGUUUGGGAAUGCAGCUCAAAAUGGGUGGUAAAUUCCAUCUAAAGCUAAAUACUGGCGAGAGACCGAUAGCGAACAAGUACCGUGAGGGAAAGAUGAAAAGAACUUUGGAAAGAGAGUUAAACAGUACGUGAAAUUGCUGAAAGGGAAACGCUUGAAGUCAGUCGCGUUGGCCGGAAAUCAGCCUUGCUUUUGCUUGGUGUACUUUCUGGUUGACGGGUCAGCAUCAAUUUUGGCCACUGGAAAAGGUUCAGGGGAAUGUGGCAGCUUCGGCUGUGUUAUAGCCCUUGUUCAUAUACAGUGGUUGGGAUUGAGGAACUCAGCACGCCGCAAGGCCGGGUUUCGACCACGUUCGUGCUUAGGAUGCUGGCAUAAUGGCUUUAAGCGACCCGUCUUGAAACACGGACCAAGGAGUCUAACAUGCCUGCGAGUAUUUGGGUGGAAAACCCAGGUGCGCAAUGAAAGUGAAAGUUGAGAUCCCUGUCGUGGGGAGCAUCGACGCCCGGACCAGAACUUUUGGGACGGAUCCGCGGUGGAGCAUGUAUGUUGGGACCCGAAAGAUGGUGAACUAUGCCUGAAUAGGGUGAAGCCAGAGGAAACUCUGGUGGAGGCUCGUAGCGAUUCUGACGUGCAAAUCGAUCGUCAAAUUUGGGUAUAGG